UCUGCAGCUGCCCGUGCUUGGUGGAGGUGACGACCACGGCGGCCAUGUCGUUUACGUGUCGCGAAGCCUGCUGCAGCGUGUUCAGCUUCUUGUUGCUGCGGUCAGCCUUCACCUGAAAUGAUAGGAAAUCACAUCGACACAUCGACCAGCUGGGCGGUGCUGGCGGCGAUCUCAUGUGAACAGACGAUGAGCUCCUCGUACGCACCAUUUUCCCCCACGACCCGGUCAGCUGAGUCUCUGAAGGCAAAGAGCAGCUGCGUGGCGCCCCAGCCCACAGCCUUAGACGCAGAGAUGAGUCCCUCGGUCCAGCGAGAGUUUUUGGCAUAAAAGUCUGUAACAGAUGCUGCUCCCUGUGGGAACAGUGAUUACAGACGCAUGAAUAUGUAUGUGCAACACUUCUGUGGUUUCUGUUAUUUUUUGAGACAAUGUUACCAAACUCCAUACCCUGGAAAUAUUCCAGGGUUUUUCCAUGUUAUUGAUUUUGAGUUAUUCAUUAGUUUCCACAGUACAAAAGAGAAUGUGUAUGUAUACAAUAUAAACAUAUCAGACUGUUAAUUGUGCAGGUAAUAUGAAGGAUAGAAUCAAUAAAUAAAAGUAGAGAUUUAGGUUAAAUCCUUGUUUCUGAUUAGUGAUCACUUGCGAGCUGCUCUUAAAGGUAAAUCCAACAUUUCACUGCAUAGGAAUAAUAAAUGAAAAAAGAAGGAAUGAAUGUGUUUAUAAAUAUGACUUAUUUAAAAAAAAAUAAAGGUUUAGCUUUU